AUUGAACGCUGGCGGCAGGCCUAACACAUGCAAGUCGAACGAGUGGCGGACGGGUGAGUAAUGUCUGGGAACCUACCGGGUGGAGGGGGAUAACUGCUGGAAAGGACAGCUAAUACCGCAUAUCAUCCGAGCUGCCGAUGUGUGAUUAGCUGGUUGGAGGGGUAAAGGCCCACCAAGGCGACGAUCAGUAGCCGGGCUGAGAGGAUGAUCCGCCAAACUGGGACUGGGACACGGCCCAGACUCCUACGGGAGGCAGCAGGAGGGAAUUUUGGACAAUGGGGGCAAGCCUGAUCCAGCCAUGCCGCGUGACUGAAGAAGGCCUUCGGGGUGUAAAGCUCUGUUAAUCGGGACGCGGUACCGGAAUAGAAAGCCACGGCUAACUACGUGCCAGCAGCCGCGGUAAUAC
rnacentral:rRNA from 1 species